UGAAGCCAUUCCAGUCUCCUCUAUCUCUUUGACUUAGGAGCUCCCAGAUGUGGCCUUGGUGACCCCCAGCUUAUCACCCCCAUCACUUCCACUUGGUGGAGUGCAGGGGUCACAGGAAGAGAAGACAGAAAACAUGAUUCAGUUUUGGCUCUUCUACAUCCUGGCUGUGUUUCUGAGCUCCUUCUUCUUCAUCUCUGAGUACAUAGUUGUAUAUUCUAGUUGUGAGCGCCUCUGACUGUGCUAUGUAUCUGGGACGCCGCCUCAGCGUGGCCUGACGAGCGAUGCCAUGUCCACGCCCAGGAUCCGAACCAGCGAGACUCUGGGCCACUGAAGCGGAGCGCGAGAACUUAACCACUUGGCCACGGGGACGAUCCCCAGGAACCUGUGUUUUAAUAAGUCCUUUCCUGAUGAUUCCUAUAUCCACUGACAUUCAGGAACCAUUGUACUAUGCUAGACGGCAUUUAAAAGAAAUGCCAAACAUUGAAUAAAUGUUAGUUGCUCAAUCCAUUAAACACAAUAAUAGGAGAGAACUACCUAGCACAGCUUGGGGCUCACAUAAGCACUAGAAUAUAAUAGUUUAUUUCUAUGGCAUUAAUAUAAGUCAUUUGUGUGUAUCGUGAGGUUAGAUUAUUAGAAACUGUGCCUGAACUGCCAUGAGAGUUAGAAAUUCUGUUUUCUAAAGUGGCAGAAGCCCCAGCACUAUUAGAAAGGAAACAAAGGCAAAUAUGAAUACAUGCUACUUAGUGGCCAACCAACGCCUUGAGAGAUUGUUUUAAGCUACAAACGAAUUCCAUGUUCUAUACUUAUCAAAAUACCCAUCGCUUUAUCUGAUUUCACGGUAGCCAGAAAUUCACAUAUUUGGUAACAUUCCUUUGAGAGGAACUAAGAAAUCUGAGCAACGAAUGUGAUGGUGACACAGAGUAACUGCUGACCAAAGAUUUAACAACUUUUUAAAUAACAAAAUAAUGGAUCUGAUCAAUGAUAUUUUUAAUGAGAUAUUUUAACGGAUGCUAUCAGUGAUAUAAUUUAGUGGGAUAUUUUUGGUGAUAUUUUUAUGAAUUUUUAUUUUCAUAAAACGUCUCUCUCACCUCAUCUUCUAGCCUCUUCUCUACUCAGAUUUUGCAAAAUCCUGCACAUGUGUGUGGCUCAAAAUGCCAGGUGUAAUGGGAAGCUGUCACAGGUGUAAUGGGAAGCUGCACAGGUGUAAUGGGAAGCUGCCACAGGAAAGAUAGAAAAAUUCACUGCCAUCUGAUACUUAUUAACACGAGAAAAAACAGGAAUACUGUCCUGUGAGUCAGUUCAUAAUUGUUCUUUUCAAAGAAUUAACAAGGUGAGACCAGAAAUUUAUCUGAGAGAAUGUACUCAAUGUAGUGAGGCCCCCAAAAGAAAAAAGGGCACCAGCACUUUGUGCCGAAAUGAGACCAGAGUACAAAUUCCUGAAAAUGCCCGAUGCUCCCUACAUGGUAGCCCAGCACAUUGGCAAUCCCCAUAGCCACACGGGCUGGUCUGGUCUUGGGGAUUACCAGGAGCGCAGAAAGGCUUGGCUGCAGUAACAGCCUUAGACCUGGGACAGUAGGCUGCUGCCCUGGGCCCAGUGCUUUCUUCAAAAUUUUUGAAGUUCCCUGGGGUGCCUGGCAAUGCCACCUGGGUGGGACACCCCAAACCUGGAUGGAUUCCUGGGAGUUUGGUCCUUAUUUCCAUCCUUCAGGACACUCUUUGACCCUUGAUCCUGUGUGUGGGGUCACCACCUGCCCCAAGGAACUCCGAGACUCAUGCUCCUGGGAUCAUAAUCCCCACCUAUGGGGCUUCCAGGAGGGUGGGCUCAUGAGCUGGUCAUUUCCGCUGGCUGUUGCAGUAUUUCUCUCAUGAGAUUGAGCCCCCCAAAAUGUGCUGACACUCUGAUUUGAGGUGACUCACUCAUGGUGGUCACAGGAGACGUUCAGGACUCAGGGUUACCAGGACCAAUCCCACCCAGCUUUGGACUUGAGCUCUUCAGCAUCGGCUCUUGCCUGCCCGUUCCAUCCGUGGCCUCCUAGGGCCACAACACCCAAGGGCAGGAGGGAGGCUGCAGGUGUCCUUUACCUGUGUACUCUACUGCUGGCACACAGGGUUACCCCACCCCUCCAUAAGUUCCUUUCCCUACCCAUGUCGGGCAGUCCUCUGAGGUGGCCAAGCCUAUCUCCUCCAAGGGCUUUCUAGACCAUUGCUUUAGAAUGCAGAUGGGCCCUUCUGCUCAGGGUCCUCUUUUGCCUCCAGUGGAUUUGGUGGCCUCAUGCUCUCCUGGGGCGAGGGACGAACAUUUCUUGCAGAAUGUGACUGCUUUACUUACUCUGCCCACAGGCCCCUCGCCUACCCUCCUGGCUGGUGGGAUGUAUGGAAGGCAGGGGUGUGGUCAACAGGGAAAGAAAUCACCUUCUAAGGAUGCAGUGACUUCCGCCUGAAGAGUUCAAGAGAAGACAGAGUUGGAAGACACGGUGUUCUAUCUUUAUGUUAUAAAAUUCCAAACUGUAGACUUUAUAUGACCGCAAAAUGGAUUAUUGUUCACAUUUUCCAGCAUUCUCUGGAUGAGACUUGCAUUUAUAGUCAUUAUCAAUGAACCACAGCAGCUACCUUUGACAGGGUCGUUGGAAAGCAGUACUCACAGGCCGCACAAUGGAUGACCCACUGUUAUGCAUACAUGGUAUAAGUAACAUUAAAUACGUGCAGAGAUGAGAUCUGUAUAGUUGCAAUAUAAGCAAGCUCCAAAAAGUCCUGACAUUGUGAGUAAUGACAGCAUUGCACCCUGUUUUUGGAGGUGGAAGAUGUGAAAUUCUCCAGGAAUGGCACAUUUGACAAUAAAGAACAUGAAGAGAUGAUUCCUGGACCCAAACAGAAAAGAUGGUCUCUGGACAUCUGCCCUGAUUGGACAAUAAAUACAUAUCAAAGUACCUCUUCCAGCUCUUCCUACACAUUAUUCUACACCUUCAGCAAUAAAUCACUAUACUUUCCAGGGGCCCACACAUUUUGUAAAACAUUUUUUAAUCAAAGUGUUUAGUUAGGGCCUUGCAAAAAGAGAAUUUUGCCUGGGGCUCCAUGUACUCCACAUGGGGGCACCUCUGCUUGUCUGAGACCUUUGCUUUCAGAGUUAACAAGUAUUAAUUGACUCACUACCCAGUACUGUGUUCCAUGUCAAAUGCUGGGAGGCCAAACCUCAUCAAAACUUGUAUGAUGCAACCACUGCCCCCAAGACCCAUGGUCUUGCUGGUUACACAAGACUUGGACAUAUGAAAUAUCAGGAAAAAUAUAGGACUAGAUAUUAUAUGAUGCUUAAAUAAACACAUUCCAAAACAUAUGGCAGAGAUAGUUAACGCUAAGGGUUUAGGAAGGGGCGAGCUCAGUGUGGGCUGGUGUCUCCAGGAAGGCUUGGUGGCACUCGGUAUGAGCCCUGAGGCACAAGCUGGACUUGGACAGGCUCCGAAGUAUGUAGACGGCAGGCUGGGCAGGGGCGGCAGCGGGAAUCCCUUGAGGAAGGACCCCAUUUCACGAGUCAGACUUGAGGAGCUUCGGAACUGAAGAAGGCACAGCCCCUGCUUUCUUGGAGCUGGAGUCUCUCUGAAGAGCAUAAGCUGCCUUGGAGUGGGAGUGCUGAGCUCUAAGGAAACCCGUCACUGCCCUGUGAACAGGAGACGUUGAUGGCACACCUUCUGGAGGGGUAGAAAUCUCUCACUGGAAAUCAUCUUGGUGGUCUCUUCAACACCAAUUUCCUGAUAUGGACUUAGCCCAACAACCAGACUCCCGCCUGGCCUUCUUUCCACUUUGUUCCUAUCUUCAUGCUGCCUUGCCCACCCACGUGUGAUUUCGGCAGCUGUCUGCUUGCCCUGUUCUCUAAGCAUGAAUCCUGGUUUUCAUCUUGCACUCCUAACCAAGCCUCAAUUCAGGGCUUACAUGAUGCCGUGAGCCCUAGACUUGCAGUCAGAGGAUCUGUGGCUCAAGCUGGCUCUGCCACAUACUGGCUCUGUGACCUCGGGCAGGUCAUUGCAUGCCUCAGAACCUCUUCUGUUUCUUCAUUUAUACAUGGAGAUAGUGAUGCUUUACCACUUAUUUUAGAGGGUGCUUUGAGGAGAAAAUGAAGUACUUUAGCUUAAAAGAAUAAUAUCUAAUACUUAAAUAGAGCUCACUUUGUGCAAGGCAAUCAUCUAAGAGCUUUAGAGAUAUAUUAACUCUUUCAGUUCACACAAUAACUUUGUGAAGAAGAAACUAUUAUUAUUGCCAUUUACAGUGGGAAUGUUUAGACACAGAGAGAUUCAGUUAAUUUCCCAAAGACUAACACAUCUAUUAAGGGUAAGAGCUAGGAUUUAAAUCCUGGUAGUCUGGGCCCAGACUCUGUUCCCUUAACAACCCCAUUAUACUGUUUAUCUAAUAACAAGAAGAGAUAACACUUAUAUAAGGCUUACCAUGUGCCAGCCACUGCUCCAAAGGUCCAAUUAACUCAUUUAAUCCUCACAAUAACCCUUUGAGGUCUCUAGGAGGCAGGUACUGUUGUUAUCUGUAUGUGAAUGAUCUGGAAAGAUUCCAUAUGUGGGAAGUGGAACAGCUGUACCUUUUCCUGGUCCUCCUGCUAAAGACAACUGAAAACCCUGGACAGUCCACAGAAACAAACACAAGAAGACUCUGAAAUGUGGAGAGAAGAAGGCAGACCAACUAGGGACCUCGGAAUCCAAGGAACAGUAUGGUGGUGAGUUCCCUGGGUCUUCUUUUUUGCCUUAUAUUUCCCAGACUUGGAGCUGAAGGAGCUGGCAGCCUGGAAAUGCCAAUGACUCUAGAAAGAAAAAGCCCCAACAGAAGCCCACUCUCUCUAGGAAAAGGAGCAACCUCGCAAGAUAGGAAACAUUUAGAUAAUAACUGGUCUACUCCAGCCAAACACUACAGAAAAAUCUAUGACCCCUCUCCCACCCAUUCCAGUAAGGCUGAGUGGGGAGCCUGGACUUCCAUUUCUGUGGAGUUUUAACAAGGAGCCCAAACCUCUCUGCCAGGGUGUUGUCAGAAAGGGCUGAGUAGAGAGCCAGGACUUUCAUCCCCUGGAGCUAAUGAGGCCUCCUCAUGCUGUCAGUGGAGAUCAACUGGGAGCCUGGACUUCCAUCUCCAUUUGGCGGCAGUCAGGCGCCCUCCCCAUCCUCACUGGGAUGGUGUCUAAAGAAGCCUAAUGGACAGUCAGAACUUUCACCACUGCCCAGCAGCACGGAGGUCCCCGCACAGCCCCACCAUGAUGUCAGCGGAGGCCAUGUGAGGAGAGUAGUGAGGCAUCUGGAUGCUGCCCAGCCAGGUAGGUAUCAGCAGAGACCUAGUAGGGAGCCAGAACUCCCACCCACAUCAAGCAGUAAAGAGGAACCCCACCUCUAUGUCAACAAAGGGCAAGUGGAAACUUACUCUCACCUGGCAGUGGUGGCGGGUCCCCUCUUCUUCCCCUGCUCAAGUAAUGUCAGAGGAAACCAGAAAAAAUGAGGGCUUAAAUAAGACCCAGAGUCUCACAACAUAAUGCCCCAGAUGCCCAGAAUUCAGUAAAAAAAUAAUUGCUCAUUACAUCAAGAACAAGGAAGAUAAACUAAGUGAAAACAGACAAUCAACAGAUACCAGCACCAAGAUGACAGAGAUGUCGGAAUGACCCGACAAAGAUUUUUAAACUGUCAUCAUGAAUAUGCCUCUGUGGCUUAUUUCACUCAGCACAACACCCUCCAGGAAGGCCUUUCUUAGGAAGGAGAGCAAAAAAGAAGAAAAUUAGGUCCAUGUGUGCUUGUUUUUUCUUGUUUUUUCCUCUAAUAUCUUGAAGAGAUGUACUUAUUUUGACAGCUUUCUGAAAUACUGCAUCCAAAGUGCCCCCCGAAUAUAAUGAUCAGAACUUCUCUAAAUCCAUUAACUCAUUCUCUUAACAACUUAGAAUGGAUGUUGGAGAGGCAGCGGCUUAAAGAUAUUUCCGUGUUUCUUGUAUACUUUCUUUUACUUUAUCAACAACUCAUUUCACACAAUUUCCCAUGCGUAUUUCCCUAAAUCUCUUUUUCUGAUUUUUUUUUUUUAGCCAAAGGCAGAAUUUAACGACAACACCAUACCCCUGAGAUUUCCGAUCCUAGCAUCAUGGUGUUCAUCUCUUGUUUUUUUUUUCCUCUGUUACCUCUACUUACAGAUGAAUCAGUAAGAACUCUUCUAUCUUUUAAGAAUCUUGGCUGUCACUGACAAUCUCUUAUUUUCCUUUCUAGCUUCAUAUCUUUCUUCCACAUCUUUCUCAAACUGUAUUCUUGCUUUUCUACUUUAUUUUCACCCUGGGAUUUUCCUGAUAACCUCUUUCUGUCACCACACUGAAAAUCUACUGUUAUCUGUUAUUAUUUUCAUUUCUUGCCCUUGAGAAUAAAAGAAGAUAAAUAGAUUUUAACACCACAGUGCACUUUUUUCUUUUUCUAAAUCACUUUAGAACUAGAUAUUUCACAUUAAGUGCCAUAUAGAACAGAAAUCUCAAAAUCAAUUUUCUUUUUUUUACUGAAAUGAAAGAUGCCAGAGUGAUGACAUAGAAGCUUCUUUCCUAUUCUCAAGUACUUAGAGACAGGCUCCUUCUGAACAGGAAUGAAAUUCAGAAAUAUCCGGGAUUAACAUGAGGUCUCUGUGGAGUCGCAUGUCACAGCUGUGUCCUGAGACCUUUGUAAUGGAUGAUUUCGGUUGCUCAACCAGUGCCCGUCAUCAGCACUGCAGAGUGUUGGGGCUGUGCUGGUGGCAGCUGAAGUGCUCUCGUCCUUCAUUUUCUCGAUGAGGCAGCCUCAGCUGUGAGGGAGUCUUGGGUCACCAUCGAAUCUUGGGCUGUGAGAACUCUGAGUUUAUGCAUGAGAUCUGAAUUUAUUCCUCCGGAGCUGGCUGUUCAUUCAGCGAGCAAAUCUUACUCAAAUCAGCCUAAGUAGAAAGAACUUAUUUUAUUUAUUUAUAUAUUUUUUUGAGGAAGACUGGCCCCGAGCUAACAUCCAUGCCCAUCUCCCUCUACUUUAUAUGUGGGACGCCUACCACAGCAUGGCUUGCCAAGCGGUGCCAUGUCCGCAGCCGGGAUCUGAACCAGUGAACCUGGGGCCACCGAAGCUGAAUGUGCGCACUUAACCUCUGCGCCACCGGGCCGGCCCCAAAAGAACUUAUUUUAAGAUCCAGAGCUUCUGGAAUCCUAGGGAAUCUGGGCCUUCUGUGACAGGAACUGGGAACUAGAAAGGUUCAAUCUAAGGAGCUCUCUCCAGGUCUUCCUCUUUCCUUCUCUUUCUCUGUGUCCCUUUCUCUCUGUAGCCACGUGGCCCCUCACGUGCACACUCGCUCUCCCUCACCCCAUCUCAUUCUUCUUCUUUUUCUCUAUGGGCUUGUGGCUCUAAAUGUCCACUAGACCCAACAUUUCAUCAUUAUUGUCCUGCCCAGCCUCCUCCUCCAGCUGACCCCGUCUCUCAGGGUUCUAAUUUCAAAAUCCCUGAGCAAGAAAUUUGGUCCUGACACUCCCUUCCAGAGCUAUGCCGUAGACUUCGGGAAAGCCUAUAGGUGGGAUGCUUCCCUGAACUUAAUUAGUGACCUUCUGGGAUCUAGGACUCCUCACUCACCCAUGCCAGGGGCAGUGGGCAAGUUACAAUUGUCUGAAAAAAGAUGGGGCAACUUUAUCUAAUUAUUAGUGCACUCUCUAGGGACAUUUAUUUGUUUAUUAUAUCCUGGCAAUACUUUUCAAAAAAGCUUAACGUUUGCUGUAGAGGGAGAAGUCACUCCCUCACUUUCAGCCUGAGCCAGUUGGGGAUCCUUUAAUCCCCUUUGCAGUAGUGUCUGCGGGAGCUGCUAUGUAAUUGUGAGGACUAUGAUAUUUUGGGGGCUGGGAUACUGGAAAGAGCAAUGGGUUGAUGGUUGACAAUCCAAAGAUUAUACCCAGGUCCUGACCUGAUCUUAAUUUACUCUACGACCUUGGGAAAAUCAAAUCAUUUUCUGGGCUUCAUUUUUUCAUUUGUAAAAUGAGGCAGCUGGUGUGAAUCAGUGGUUCUCAGAUUUUUAGAGCAUGAAAACUCUUCUUAAGUUCAAAAAGUUAUGGAUACCACAUACUAAUCAUGUCAAUUUUGCUGCCCAGUGAAGGAAAAGAAAGAACUAUAAGUGUAUAUGUGUUCUAAGACUCACAAUAACUCCAAAGUCUCUGAGAAUCCAAAUGCCGCAGGCUGGAACCAUUGGUCCAGCUGACUUUGAGGUUCCUUCUGGCUCUGAUAUUCUGAGAUUCAAGUCAGAGGAAUUUGGACUCCUUAGAAAACAUUCACUUAUUCAAGAGGAAAGCUGACAAAAAAUAUUACCAGAUCCAAGAGCAGCAACAGAAGUUUUCAAGAGAGAUGAAUUAAGGCAGAUUUCAGGGUCUAAAAAUCCAAGCUGAGAGAGAAGAUGGAAGGAAGAAUCAAUGCUAACAGCAGCAGGAGGCUGUGGGGCGACAUGAUGGGCAGCAGGGUUCAUAAUGUGGCUCAUACCAGGAUGAGGGUCAGAUGUCAUGAUCACUACAGAGGGAAGCAGAGAAGUCAAUCUCAACUCCUAGGCAAGGUGGAUAAACUCUUCUGGCCUUAAAGAAAUAUAUUGUGUAAUAAAUAUAUAUAUGUUAUAUAUAAUAAUUAUAUUGUAUAAUAAUAUAUUAAUCAAUGUAAUAUAAUUAAUAAUAUGUAAUAAUAUAUGUUAUAUUAAAUAAUAUUCACAUAUAAAAGCCAGGACGGUGCAUGGUAUAUCAUAGGCUAUAUAUAUAUAUAUAUAUAGAGCCUACUAUAUAUAUUUUCCCCCCUGCCCCUUAAUCACAAUAACAGUUGAAGCGUUACUUAAGCCUUCUAGUUAAACUUCUCUAAAGAUUAGUACCAAUUGAGUUGACAUUAAAAAGUUACUGACAAUGUCUUAGGGCAAUUUCUGUGAUAUAUGUACAAGAGAUAUGCCCACAGAAAAAUACAUUCCUGGAGCUUGUCCUAACACUAUCCCUUUUAUGUUUUUCAAUAUUUUGCAUGCUUAAUAUCAAAAAAGAGAUUGAUUCUCAGAGACAUUCUGCCUUACAGCACUCUUCCUGAAGUUUUAAGGAGAUCUGAACUUGACAGUUUAUAUUUCCUAGAGUCAAAAACAGAUAUGGGUAUUAGGUUGAGAAUAUAAGGUCAAAUUUCUACCCAGAGAGUUAUCUAACUUCAAUAAGAAGCGAGAUAGGCAAAUAGAAAAUUCUUGAGAACUUUUUAAGGUUAUUAAUAUUUUAAUUCCCGUAUUCUAGCAAAGAUUACCUUAAAAGAAUAGAGGCUCCCUCUUCUCCUCCAGUAAACUCAACUGUAGACGGUCUAAGAAACACAUAAAGCUUAUAAGAAAGUGUUGGUCCCAAUCUGAGUCAAACUAAAAUGUAGUGUUUUGAGCAGCUCACAGAGUGUAAGAAAACUAGACCCUUCACAUUCUCCUGAAAGCUGCAGAAGUGUACUGACAGAGGAAUUGUAUUUCCUUUUUCAAUGAAUCAAAUUGCAUUACUUGAUUCUUCAGUGACUAAUGUUCAUGUAUUUGUGUAUUGUGAAUGAUGUGUUCUGUUUUCAGUUUUCAGAAUCUACCGAUAGACAAAGUAUGUUUAAAUCUAAACCUUAAAAAAUUUAAAUUGGUGAUAUAGCUGAUAGAAAUUGAAAGUGGGAGCAGGAGGAAGAAGAAGUAAGAGGAAAUGUAGGGGUGCUAAUUUCUCCCUCUCCCAUGGAUGGGGGUAAGAAAUAGACUAUUGUAAAUGGGUCCGUAAGUAGAGGUUAAGGACUUCUAAUUUUAAGAUGGUGGGAUAUUUCUAUAUGUUUCUCUUCUAAAUAAUCACCCCAAAGCAACAGAAAGAAUAAGAAACACAGACUCCAACUUUGCUGUCACUUAAUAAGAGACAUCUGAAACAAUAAACCAUAGUAUAGAAAGAUGGAUAGCAGAAGGAGGAACGACCAGUGACAUAAGAGCACAUGCAGAGAGAGGCCCUGCUGGGAAGCAACUGAAAGAAGGAUUGUUUGAAAGUCUGUAAAAGAGACAGUCAUAUCCCACAUCUACACACUCAUUCCUCAAACCUUCAGUGAGAGAAAACUGAAGCAGGGGCUUUCUGGGCUCAAGAUCACCUGGUCAAGAAGAGGAAGGCAGCAAGUGGAAGGAAGACAGAAGUUUGUAAAAAUUUUGGCAUAUGUCCAGCAGUUUUCAAAAUUUCAAAACAUGAGGAUUACUAAAAGUUGGCAUAUUGAAGAUUAACAGCCUCAGCCUUCCUCCCUUUCCCACCUUCUCUACUCCCUGCUAUAAAACACUGGGAACAGAAAGGUUAGAGAUCUUUUCCUAGAAAAACAAACCAUUCCAGAAUAAAGACCUCCAGAUCCUGACAUUUGCAGCAACUGGUGGAAGAGCUGGCAUCUCCCUUCAGUCAAACCCACUGGUUGAUGAGCCGUGUCCGAGCAUAUAGUCAGCCAGGAAUCACCCAAAAGUCAAGGAAAUCCUCCAACAUGAAAGAAUAGGACAAAGAAAACCCCCAAAAUACCCUAAAAGAAAAAAGGAAGUCAGAAGAACUCAGAAAAAAAUUAGGGAAAUCACCAAGAAAGUAAAACAAAAAGGCAGAGAUGUACAAUAAGAAAGGAAAAAUACAGGAGGCUCAACAUCUAAAUAAUGGCAAUUCCGGAGAGAGAAUAGAGAACAGAAAAAGUAGUGGGCAGAAAUUUAUCAAAGUGACAAUCGAAGAAAAUUUCCCAAAAUAAAGGUUGGACUGAUUGCCCAGCUCAAUGAAUGGAAAACACGUCCCCUGUAAAGCCCCAUCACUGUGAAAUUUCAAAACCUGAGGGAUAAAGAGAAGAUCCCAAAAGCUUCCAGAUAGAGAAAGAGAAAACCAAUUUACGUACAAACAACCGGUUACAUGAAUGGCAGUGUUUGUAGCCUUAUAAAUCUUGCCACUCACAGAGAUCUUUUUCUUCCAUUUGAGCCAAUUGCGUAGUCAAACUCUUUCUCCUGAAGGCCUACCAUCUGAGAUUUACCUCUUAAUUCUUCCCUUAUCGCCCAUCUUGUUCCACUCAUUGAAAAUAUUCAAAAAAUUUCUACCAAAUACUCAGUCUCUUCCUCCCUUAACCCAGUGCCAGACCUGCCACUGUGACAGACUAAGCAUAUACUGGCCUGGAUCUGCCUCCUUUUGCUGGGAGAGCCAUCUCUUCAGUUGUCCUCUGUACUUGGCAGUGGUGAGUGUGGAUUUCCAGGCCAGCUGACCUCAGUUACCAGGGUGUCAGCAGAGACUGCCUCCAACCUGCUCUUGUCUCACCAAGAUGUUGACAGCCCCUCUCUUCCUCCUGCUUGGAGCCAAGUCAACCUACAAAUACUGUCACAUCACCAUGAGAAUUCUGUCUGCCGAUUCCCAAACCAGAGACCCAUCCACUCAGCAUUGUUACCAGCUAGAGAAGGGCAACCAUCACAGGCUACACACAGACAUCUGGCUUCCUUCUCUGGAAAUUUUCUCUCUACCCUCUCCAGGGACCGGCACAUUCUUUCAUCAGAACAGACUGCCCCUGAGCUAACAGCUGUGCCCAUCUUCCUCUACUUUAAUGUGGGAUGCCUGCCACAGCAUGGUGUGCCAAGUGGCGCGUAGGUCCGCACCAGGGAUCCGAACCAGUGAACCAGCCCGGCCGCAGAAGAGGAACGUGCAAACUCAACCACUGCACCACCCUGCUGGCGCCCAUGUGGUAACAUUGUUAUGCAGCAAUAGAUAACUAAUACAAAACACGUGUUACUAAUGGCCAGAAAAGAAAAGCAGACAGUGAAACUUGCUUUGUUUAGCUUCAUAUUUAUAAUUAUGCCAGUCAAAAAAAUUAAUACAAAAUAGAAUAAAGUAAAUAAAAAUAAGUAACUAAAAGAUAAAAAAGGAAGUGUGGGUUAAAUUUUUUAAAUAUAUUGUGUUCUUUUGAAAAAGAGAAAAUGUUCAUCUGUCACAGGAAUAAAUAAUAUUAUGGUUUCUGUUUUCAAGCCUUAACUUCUGCAAAUUUGUCAAUGGCUUCAUCAAAAAUGGAUCUUUUUCGCAUGUUCAUGCUCAAUACAAAGUCUAGCUAGAUUUGUCAAUUUGUCGUUGCACAUAGUGGAUCUUUACACAGGACUAUGUCACACCACCAGGUUGGGAUUUCCAGUUGUCCCCAAAGCAGGCUCAAAUGACUCUUUGACACACUUACCAACAAACGUGUAUAGCCCUGUGCAUACAAAACGUGUAUAGCCCAACAGGGGGCCGACCGUACAGCUCAAACUUCUCUGAAUUAACUUCCAGGUAGAAUUCCACAGAACACCAUGUUUGUUACAGGAUAAGUAAAAUUAAUGUGCUCAUUUAAAGUGCACGUAUGGAUUUUUUAAACUCUAAUAUCCGCAAUUGUUUGGAACUUCGACCGACAAAAGCUUUGUUUUUGGUUUUUCUCAGAAGAGUAUUCCAUCACCGAUGUUGUUUAGAAUUCCUGGUACAUGGAAUUAAAUAAAUUUUGAUAAAUAAAAAGCAGACUGAGUUGUAGUCAGUUUUAUUACUGUUGGCCUGUGCCUGGGGCACACUCCGCCUGCUGCUCUGCGCUCUGCGGUAAAAGAGAGGGAGUAAAGAAGACUGUGAUUGUAUUCGGGGCUUUUAGGGGAGGUCUCUCUGACGAGGUGAUAUUUGAGCAGAGACCUGAGUGCAGUGAGAGAAUGAGGCAUGCCACUAGCUGGGGAGGAGGAUUGCAGCAAACACAAAAGCUCUAAGCCAGAUUGCGGCUGGUGUGUCUGAGGAACAGCAAGAAACCAGGGGACCGAAGCAGAAGAAGCGAGGGGGCGUUGGAGCUGAUGAGGUCAGAGAAGCAGUGAGUCAGGGCUGGGGAAAGAACCCAGGACCGUCUGAGGCAUCUGGUACCUGUUUCCAUCACAGUCCUUCACACCUGGUGAUGUGAGCUCCGACCUGGUGAAAUUAGACUGGAUUUCCAAAAACCUCACUUGAAUCAAAUAUUUCGUACUUAAUGGAACUCAGUUUCCCAGCUUAGAAAAUGAGGAUAACAUAACCUAUCUUGCAGAGCUAUUGUGCUUAUUAAAUUAAAUAAGAUAAUACUUGUGAAAGUGCUUUGUAAUCUGUAAAGCACCGUGAAAAGGACCACUCUUGUUGUUGUUGCUAUUAAGAGAAGUUGGUUAAGUGCUCAAGAACCAGGGGAGCGGAGAUGUUCUCAGCUGAGCGCUCUGGAUCCUGCCGCCCUCUUCCCUAACUGCUCCAUCGCCUUGCUUUCCAAUGCCUUUCCCACACUCUUUCCUUCAGCAGGAGGCUUUGGUGAACGCAGUCAGCCAGGCAUGCUUCUCGUCAGCAUGACAGGAGGUGCAUAACCACCCACGGUGAUAGCGCCUAACCAAGCUAAACAGUAUAAGAUAACCUUCAUUUGCAAAUCUGAUGAGCGAAAUUACAGGGUUCAGCUCUAAUAGAGGGGGGAAAUGAAGCUCAAGAUCAUUAUUUCCACAUCUAAGAUUAGUAGCUGGAAAAUACAGUACCUCUGUAAAAUGACAGUGUCAAAGACACCCCAGUUUUGCACGACUCCAGCACCCACACAAAAGAAGAAUCACUUCAGAGAAUAGAAAUGGAGAUGCUGCUCUCCCAGAGGUCAUGCCAGAUGGACAUAUCUGAGUGUUCGCCACAUACCCCACCAGUCUACCAUGACAUCGUUUGUUGAAACUACUGAUAAAGGUCGUCGGAAAAUAUCUGCUAACCCAAAGGAAAAUAUGAGCUGUCUUUCCAUUCUUUUUCUCUUUCAUAGGUCAGAAGUAAGUGCUCUUUGCCUAGAGAAAUACUCCCUUAUAUAAAUCAAGUAGAGAAGAUGAGGACGGAAGGAGUAAAUGGGGGAGUAAGAAGUUGUCUCAGGAGAAAGUGAACACCUCCCUUACAUUUCCACAGGCUGUUCACCCCUUCAUCAUAGUCAGUCAUUUACCAGGGGUCUUGGCUUCUAAUAGACCUGGGUUUGACUUGGUGUGAGACCUGGGGCAAGCUGCUUAACAUUCCUAAGUCUCUGUUUCUCAUUCUGUUUUCUCAUUUCUACUGUUUUUCAGUAAGAGGUGAUAACAAGAGAGCCUAACUAGUAAGACUGGUGAAGAUUAAAUGAGAAAGUCUAUGUAAGCCCACCACAGUGCUGGGGAUAUGGUUGGUGUUCAGUAAGUGCUAGCUAUUUGUAUGAUUAUUGGGGAGAAAUUACUAAAAAAGUUUUAUCAGGGGGAAAAAACAUAAGAAUGAGGGAAAAUAGUCAACUUUAAGAAUUGUUCUUAGUUUCCUAGGAUUUAUCUAACAUGGGUGCUAUAAUGCUUAGUCUAUGUGAACUAUUUAAAAAAACAAAACAGGAGUUUAUUCAAUACAGAGCAUUUCAAAAUACGCUUGGUUUAAAAUUUCUUAAUAUAUUACGAUUCAGGAUAAUGUGAAUUACUAUUUAAGAAAAACAUGUAUGAUAAAAUUUAAAUGACAGCAUUAAUACUUUUAAAGCAAACACUUCCAUGUUACCCAUAGAAAUAAUUAUUCUUGGUACAGUAGAGCAUUAUCUGGAACGUGAGUAAAUGAAGAGUUCAUGCCACGUAAAUAAAAUUUCCAAAUUACUAAAACCAAACCCUUAAACAGCAAAACUUUAAAAAGAGAUUUUUAAAAUGUGUUUAUGUUAUUGUAUCUAUUAUUUAUUAUAAUGUGUACAUAUGCAUAUAUACAACAUUUUAGAUGGCCAUGUUGGACAGUUUUCCUUAUUCUUAGUGUUUUCUUAUUGCCUUUGCUUCACUGAUCUGAACACCAAUUACUGCGUAAUGCUGGAAUAGGAAUUCCCUCUGGAGCCUGUAAAGCUCACAGGAUGGAAACUCACCAGCCCAAAUGGCCUUGCACUGAACAAUUUUUCAAAAACACUUUAGGGGAGGAAAAACUUUCCCUCAACCCUCUUAGGGUCCUUGGCUGGGCCUGAAAAUUAAACUGACGCAUGACAGAGGAGCCUUCAUUCGGAAAUGAAGACCUAAAGAGAAGGUUAAACUUCAGCGUUUUUAUACUAGGUUUAAUCAAGAGUAGGAAGUCAUGCGGGGUUCAAGCGCUCUGCUUUGGUGGCCCAGGGUUACGUGGUUCAGACCCCGGCGCGGACAUGGCACCGCUCAUCAGGCCACGCUGAGGCAGCGUCCCACAUGCCACAACUAGAAGAACCCACAACUAGAAUAUACAACUAUGCACUGGGGGGCUUCAGGAAGGAGAAGGGGGGAAAAAAGGAAGAUUAGCAACAGAUGUUAGCUCAGGUGCCAAUCUUUAAAAAAAAAAAAAAAUGUUCUCUGACUAUGAUGGAAUAAAACUAGAAAUAAAUAACAGAAAGAUAACAGAAAAAUCUACGGAUGCUCGGAAAUUAAACAACACACUUCUAAUUAAACCAUAGAUGAAAGAGGCAGUCUUAAGGAGAAUUAGAAAAGAUUUGAAACUAAAAGGAAGAAGAUUUUAAAAGAAAGAUUUUAAAAUAAAAAUAUAACAUAUCAGAGCCAGCCCCGAUGGCCUAGUGGUUAAAGUUCGGUGUGUUCUGCUUUGGCGGCCUGGGUUCAGUUCCAGGCCACAGAGCCACACCACUCAUCUGUCAGUGGCCGUGCUGGGGCAGUGGCUCACAGAGAAGAACUAGAAGGACCUGCACCUAGAAUACACAACUGUGCACUGGGGCUUUAGGGAGGGAAAAAAAGAGAGGAAGAUUGGCAACAGAUGUUAGCUCAGGGCAAAUCUUUCCCAGCAAAAUAAAAUACAACAUAUCAAAAAUCAUGGAAUGCAGAUUAAACAGUACUUAGAGGGAAAUUACAGCAUGAAAUGCUUCUAUUUAAAAAAGAAGAAAGAUUUUGUAUCAAUAAUGUAAGCUUCCUCCUUAAGAAACUAAGAAAGAGCAAAAUAAACCCAAAGCAAAUGAAAGGAAGAAAAUAAUGAAGACGAGAGCAGAAAUCAAUAAAAUUGAAACCAGAAAAACAAUAGAGAAAAUCAAUGAAAUAAAAAGCUGACUCUGGAAAAAUUAAUAAAAUUAAUAAAUCCCUAUCAAUAUUAACCAAAAAAAAAAGAGAGAGAAGACACAAAUUACCAAUUACAGGAAUAGAAAGAAUAUCACUAUAGGCCCACAGACAAGAAAAUGUUAAUAAGGGAUACUGUGCACACUCUAUGUACAUAUAUUCAACAAUGUAAAUGAAAUGGACUGAUUCCUUGAAGACCAUAAACCACCAAAAUUCACUCAAGAUGAAACAUAUGUUAUCUCAUAACUGCUAACGAAAUUGAAUUCAUAGUUUAAAAACUUCUGGAAAAGAAGUCUCCAGGCCUGGAUGGUUUCACUGGAGAAUUUUACCCAACAUUUAAGGAAGAAGCAACAUCAUUCUACAUAAUCUCUUCUAGCAAGUAAAAAAGGAGGAAACAUUUCUUAACUCAUUUUAUGAGGCCAGCAUUCCACUGAUACCAAAAUCCACUGACAAUACAAUGAAAAAAAACUAAAGACCAGUAUCCCCUCCAAACAUAGAUGCAAAAAUUCUCAAAAAAAUUAGCAAAUUAAAUCCAGCAACAUAUAAAGAGAAUAAUACACCAUGAUCAAGUAGUCUUCAUCUCAGUAAUGCAAAGCUGGUUCAAUAUUCAAAAUCAAUCAAUGUAAUUCACCAUAUUAACAGUCAAUAGAAGAAAAACCACAUGGUCAUAUCAAUUGAUAUAGAGAAAGCAUUUGACAAAAUUUGACAUCCAUUCAUGACAAAAAUUUUUAGCAAACUAGGAAUAGAAGGAAACUUCCUCAACCUGAUAAAGGGUGUCUACAAAAACCCACAGCUAACAUCACACUUAAUGGAGAAAGACUGAAUGUUUUCCUAAGUUCAGUAACAAGACAAGUAUCGUUUUUGGGGUUGCAUAUUUAGGUGGUGAAACUCUAACGCAAAGCAAAGAAUUGAUUAUUAGUCCAGCCAGGAUAGUGGUUCCCUCCAGGACGGAAGGGAGAGAGGCAGCUAUAAUUGAGAAGGGGCACUCAGGGGUCUUCUGGAUGCUGGUGAUAAUCUAUUUCUGACCUAAUGGUGGUUUCAGGGGUGUUCAUGUUAUGACAAUUUGUUAUGCUGUAUACUUGUUUUAGGCACUUUCUUGUAUUUGCAUUGUAUUUCUCAAUAAAAUGUUAUGGAAAAAAUGACUAUUUAAAAAAAAUUUUAAAGUUAGCUUUUUUAGAAAGAAAAAUUAGCACCUUACUCCUCAUAAUUUCCUAUAUUCUUAAUAUUAGCAGUAACAAUUAAUAAAUAGCUGAAAUAAAGAAUUGCCCUCAGGAGCUUUUAUUGUAAUCAAAAUCAUGAUUUUAACGACUCAGAAUGGAACGUGCUUAACUGCUGAGUUUGGUUUUCUCCUCUGCACAGUGAUGGGGGCUAGGACGCUUUCCUUCUGGUUCUGGGUGGGGCCCACCGCGCAGGGCAGAAUGCAGGAGCACCAGCCAGCAAUCUCCCGAGUCUGUUCUCAGCUUCAAUCCAAACCCCUCUGACUGAAAAACAAUGUCAAAAAUUGGCCUUAAUUACCUAAAAGCUUUUUAUAUAAGUUCCUUAGAAGAUUAUUUAUAGCAAAGCCAUUUAAUGUCAUUAAGAUAAUUCCAUGUGCAUUUUUUUAAAAACUUAUUUUAAAUUCUAGUGAUGGCUCAAAAUGUCUUUCCUAAUUAUUUAAGUUUCACUUGCUUAAAAUGCAGCUUAAAAUAAAAAUUUGGAUCAAGGGGCUAAUCAGAAUUUCAUAAAACACGCAUGGAUAGAAAAUCGAGGGUAGGUAAAAAUCCCAUAACUAAAUCCUAAUUUACAUCAGUACUAUCGAGAAAAUGUAAAGCUAUGUAGGCAGCCUUUAGCAAAAGGGCAUGUGUAAUAACCUCAAUUCUUCUUUUUCCAGAGUUGGAAAAAAAUUAUUUAAAGCUUGAAUUUUUGUUAGGAGUACUCAUUUACUCUAAAAUUUAAAAAGAUCUCACUUUAGGAGAGAUCUGGAGGUUUUCUAAAAUAUAUGAUAUAGCAGCCCAUUCUUGUGUUUUGUUACACAUGAUAAAGUUUCAAAUUUGUUAGUAAAAUGUAGAAUUCCCUUCUUUGUGAUUCCUUUUCAUCUUUUCUACGUCUAGAAAGUAGCUCCCCAUCCAAUUCUCAUUUUUCCAAUUAAGCUCAUUCAUUCACAUAACAAGUAUUGAACAUCUAAUACAUGAAACACUGUUCUAGGUAGACAUCAGAAAACAGACAAUAUUUCCCACCCCAUGGAGACAAAAAACAGAAUAAGUAUAUUACAUGAUAAUUAGAAGGUAAUAAGAGCCAUGAGAAAAAACCUAUAGCAAGGUUCUAGAGAUCAAUAGUGUCAGGACAAGGGCUGGGAGGUGGGGCUUGUUGAGAUUAUAAACAAGGUGAUCAGAGAAGAACUCAUGUGAAGAGAUGCCAUUUGAGGAAGCUACUUAAAGAAGGUGAGUGGGUAAGCCAUGUAGAAAUUUGGAGGGAGAACAUCCUAGGUGAAGGGAAGAGCAUGUGCAAAAGCUCUGAGGCCAGAGGAUGCCUAGAGUGUUCAAGGAACAGCAUAGAGUUCACUAUGGCUGGAGCAGAGGGAGCAAGUGGAAGAAUAAUCAGAGAUGCAGUCAGAGAGGUGAGGGGGAUCUCGUGUGACAUCAUAAGGACUCUGAUAUUUACUCUGAAUAAAAUGGGAGUCAUUGGAAAAUUCAUGAUCUAACUCUGGUUUUGACAGAUCGUUCUGACGGCUUUGUUGAAAAUACACUGUAGGGAGACAGGGUAGAUGCAGAGUGACCUGUUAAGAGGAUAUUACAAUAAUCCUGGUGAGAUGUGAUGGUGGCUUGGACCACAAUGUAACCGUGAAAGUGGUAACUGGAGGUCAGAUCUUGGAUAGAAGCUGAAGGUAAGAUUUUUCAGUGGAAGGAUGGAGUGGUUGUCAACUGAGAUGAAGAAGAAUAUGGGUGGAGGGGGGAUGGACAGGAUUAGUUCAACUUUUGACAUGUUAAGUUAGAUACCCAUUUGACAUUAAAGGACAACUUCGAGUAGUGUAAUGGGUUGAACAGUGGCACCCCAAAAUCGUGUCCACCCAGAACCUCAGAAUGUGACUUUAUGUGGAAAUGGGAUCUUUGCAGAUACAAUUUUUUAAAUUAAGAUGAGAUCAUACUGGAUUAGGAAGAGCUCUAUAUCCAAUGACUAGUGUCCUUAUAAGAAGGCCAAGUGAACACACAGAGACAGACAAAGGAGAACGUAAUGUGAGAAUGGAGGCCGAGAGUAGAAGAGUGAUGUGUGUACAGACCAAGUCAUGCCAAGGAUUGCCUGCAACCACCAGAAGCUAUGGGAGAGACAUGGAACAGCUUCUCCCUCAAUGCCUCCAGAAGGAACCAACCCUGCGGACAACUUGAUUUCAGACUUCUGGCCUUCUAAACUGUGAGAUCAUAAAUUUCUGUUUUAUGCCCCCUAGUUUGUGGUAAUUUGAUAUGGUAGCCCUAAGAGAAUAAUAUAAGUAGGCGAUUGAAAAUAUGAGAGUGAAGUUUAGGGGAAAGAUCUAGACCAAAGAUAUGAAUUUGCGUGUUGGAAUCAUGUAGACAGUGUUUAGAGCCAUGAGAUUAAAUUUGAAGAAAAUUGAUGCACAUAGGCAAGAGAACAGCAAGUACCAAGCCCUGGGGCAUCAAUGUUAAGAGUUUGAGAAGAAGAGAAGGAAGCAGGUAAGGAGAAUAACCGGUGAGGUGGGAGAAGAGGCAGGAGAGUAACAGCCUACAAGUCUCAUGAAGAGUCUUUUUUGAUGGAGAGUGGUCAGUUAAAUCGAGCGAGAUAAAAAAUCAAAAUUUCGCAUUGAACUGAUUAAUACAAUGGCCAUUUGGCAAAUUUCACAAAGAGUGUUUUGUUGGAGUCCUGGGAAAGAAAGUCCAAUUUGGAGUGGAUUCCGGGGAGUACGUGAGAAAAGGAAUUGUAUACAAUGACUGUAGAAAAGACAAGCGGCAAAACAGUGUAAUUUUGCUUUAAAAAAGAGCAGUCAAAAUGGGGUUUCUGGAGGAAUAAGUGAGGUCAAGAGAAGGUUGUUUGAAAACGGGAAAAAUAAUGGCAUACUUACAUGAAAAAGAGAGUGAUCCAGGAAAGAGGUGAAAAUGGAUCUCUGUAGGAGAUUCCGGGAAGGGGUGAUGCCCUUGUGGAGGGGAGAAGGGAUGAGAUCUGGGGCUACAAGGGACUACAGGUGGUGACUGAGCACUGGAAACGUGGUGAGUCCCAAUUGAGACGUGCUGUACGCACAAAAGACACACCAGAUUGCAUAGACUUAGAAUGAGCAAACAAAUGUAAAAUAGCUUAUGAAUAAUUUUUACAUUGAUUACAUGUUGAAAUAAUAUUUUGAGUAUAUUGAGUUAACAAAAAGAUACAAUUCAAAUUCUUUUCACCUAUUUCUUUUUACCUUUGGUACUAGAAAAUUUUUAAUUCCUCGUGUGGUUUGCAUUAUAUUUCUAUUGGACAGAGCUGCUCCAGUGCCCAAGGGAAGGAAUCGGCCUUACAUUGGAGCAAGAACAGUCUGUCUAAGAUACUAAGAGGGAAAGCAGUGCAUAGGGGUGAAAUGCUGGUGGGUGAGCGGAGGAGGUGGUGGGUGUUUGAAAAAGGCUUUAGUUUUCUCAGUGAAUGAAGAAGGAAGAUAAUCCCUAAAUUGGGUUCAAUUAACUGUGUAGAAUUCAUUUGGUGAAGAAUGUAAGGUAAGAAUCUAAAUAGAUUUUCCCCAAAUAACUGACCAUUUGCCCCAGAACCACUUAUUAAGUAAGACUUCCUCCCCACUGAUGUGUGAUGGCUUGUUUUUCAUAAAAUAAAUUCUGUGAUUUCUUUCUGAGCUGUCUGCUCCAUUGAUCUGACAAGGCUUCCACUUGACCCAUAAUGGUUUAAUUAUUGUAGCUAUUGAAGGGGUUCAGAACAUGCCAGCCAAAAACAUGCCAUUUUGGCACAUUGAUUAUUUUGAGCUGAAGGCACUUGAAAAACAGCAGAUGCAGGACUGGCUCUCUGAUCUCCCCCUUUCUACCUAAAAGCAGAUCAUAAAAUUUCCCAAGAGAAAGGUGCCUCACUGCACCAGGAAGAGAAGAGCAUCCUUAUCGUGGGAGAUGGGCAAUCAAUACCAGAACGCACGUGCACGAACAACCUGCUAAAAUAAGCUUCAUCUUCCGGCAAACUGCACGUCAUUUAAACCUCUUUUGAUGACUCAGGCACGUCAUUACCAAGACGAGCAGCGCUAAUAAACUAUCUUGGGCUGUUUGGCCUCCCGGUGAAACUGCUGCCUCUGCUGUUGCUUUCUUGGGUCUCACAUCUGUUUAUUAGGCUCUCGCUACCUGACCUCACCUAUUCUGGAGCCUCUAAUCUGAUAAAUAAGAAACUGCUAAAUCGUAGGCUUCAUUUUAGACUCAUUUCCAGUGUGUGUGGUUGGAAGUUUCCAUUGGAAAUGGUGUCCCUGACAGCUGUUUUGUGUUCAGAGACAUUUUCCUGCUCAGUCUAAACAGUUGAGGUUACUAAAAGCCUACCCUCUGGACAAGGGAACGCUCUUGAAUGGCUAAGUUUUAUUAAAAAUUCGCCAGC
rnacentral:lncRNA from 1 species